AGUGAACGCUGGCGGUAGGCCUAACACAUGCAAGUCGAACGGCAGCACAGUAAGAGCUUGCUCUUACGGGUGGCGAGUGGCGGACGGGUGAGGAAUACAUCGGAAUCUACUUUUUCGUGGGUGAUAACGUAGGGAAACUUACGCUAAUACCGCAUACGACCUACGGGUGAAAGCAGGGGAUCUUCGGACCUUGCGCGAUUGAAUGAGCCGAUGUCGGAUUAGCUAGUUGGCGGGGUAAAGGCCCACCAAGGCGACCAUCCGUAGCUGGUCUGAGAGGAUGAUCAGCCACACUGGAACUGAGACACGGUCCAGACUCCUACGGGAGGCAGCAGUGGGGAAUAUUGGACAAUGGGCGCAAGCCUGAUCCAGCCAUACCGCGUGGGUGAAGAAGGCCUUCGGGUUGUAAAGCCCUUUUGUUGGGAAAGAAAAGCAGCAGGUUAAUACCCCGCUGUUCUGACGGUACCCAAAGAAUAAGCACCGGCUAACUUCGUG
rnacentral:rRNA from 1 species